UUAGGUUUUAUUUUCUAUUUACUCUGAAAUUUGGGUUUUGUUUUCAGUCACCUUAUGUUCAGUUAGAUUCACGUGUAUUCUAUUUUAGCCCUCACACACAAG